rnacentral:lncRNA from 1 species
AAUUUGACAAAGUCAAACAAAAAAUUCCAACAAAAAUGUCUACACUUACACUUUUUCAAUAUAAUACCACUAUACUACUCCCCCUCCCCCCACACCUAAAUCUUAUAUUGUCCCCAAUGUAAGCAAUAAAGAAUAAAAUACAAAGCAAAAAGGGACAACGAAACUUCCCUGAUCGUCAAAGGGGGGUCUCGAGCAGCUAUGACAUAGGUGAGAUUGGUAGUGUGAAGCCAACAUGGUGGAUAUUUACUGCUCCCAAACCAAAAUAGGAGAUGCGCAUAGAUAGUGAAAAUGGAGAUGAUCAUGGGAGGUGGCUAGCAGCGGUAACAUGGUGUGGUAGCAAUGAUGACGAGCAGAAACGGCACGAGCAGCGGAGUUUGAGGUCCUAAGGUUGUGGUCCUGUGAUUGGAAAAGGAAAGAAAGGAAGAAAAAGGAAAGGGAGAGAAGAAGAAAAGAGAAAGAAAGAAGAAAGAAAGAGAAGAGAGAAAGAAAGAAAGAAAAAGAAAUGAAAUGAAAAUUUUUUUUGAACCACUACGUUAGAUGUGGGCACGCCUAGCUACCCUUGAGUCUUCUAACUAACCCACGGAAAUUAAGAUAUUUCCUCCACACCUAAAUCAUGCUUGUCCUCAAGCAUGAGAACAACAAAUCAAGCAAUCAAAUUCAAACAAUAGCUAUUAUUCAAAUCUUCUAUUGCCAAGAUACAAUUAAAACAUAUGUCAAGUAUUAGUGGCAAUUUUCAAGAAAUAUCUCUCCAGUUAGCUUUCAAGAUCAAGAACUCUUUCAAUUUAUGACUAACUAAUCUAAGGAUAUAAAAUAUUCAACCACCAUCCAUAAGUAAAUGGUUUGACUAUUAAACAAAAUUUCAACAUUAAAAUUCAUGAAUCAACGGAUUAACAAUUCAUCCAAACACUUCCACAUUUUUCACUAUUAACACAUUUUUUUCUAAAAUAUCCCCACACUUAAUUGAUUUUUUCUUUCAGGGGGACUGUUUAGUUUUUAGCCAUUCAAGCGUUUUGACGCGAACUAUGACAUUGGCCACAUGAAAGAGCCCGAUUACUCAGCCAUCAUCGCUUAAAAAUCACAUACUCAUAGUUAUCGUCGCUUUUUGACGCGAAAGUCGACACUUAUGGUGAAAACCUCAUGUUACUAAGCAACAAUACUAGUGGAGUAUAGCCGAAUACUAUUCAUAAAUAAGCACCAAAUUUAAAUUAAAAAUCACACAAACCCGCUUCAUUUCUUAAAUAUGGAGAACUAAAAUUAAUAGUUGAACCAAUUUGCAUAAAAAAUGCUGGACAAAUAUUUACCAUACUUAGAGAAGUUAACCAAAAGGCGCAAAAGUUACAAAAUCUCAAAUAUUCACCAAAAAAGAUAUCCUUAAAUUUAACCAUGUCAUACUUAACACCUUAGAGUGUAAAAUCUUAGCAAUAAAAAAUUUUGAGACAUCUAACCAUCGUUAAUCAGGAACAAUCACACAUAUGCACAAAGAUAGGCAAAAAUUGGAUAAAAUUCGACAAAGUCAAACAAAAACUUCCAACAAAAAUGUCUACACUUACACUUUUUCAAUAAAAUACCACUAUACUAUGUCCCCUAUAAACUUUUUGAAAUCUAAUUAAACCCAUUUCGGAGAGAUAUCCAUCUAUCAAUCAAAAUUAAAAUGGGUACAAAUGACAAGUUUGGGAGAUGUAAUAUCUCCAUUUACCAAUCAUCUUCGUCUUUCCAUAUCUCACUCCCUAAAAUCUUCCUCAUUAUUCCUUAUCUUCUUCACCAAAAUCCCAAAAUAAGGAAAAAGAGGAGGCCUGGGGGUUUUGCAGGAAUGGUGUUGGUGAAUGGGUAGUGAAGACCAUAGGUUAAUAAAUCCAUAGUUAAUAAAUAUAAUGAAGAUUUCGACUAAUGUUUUUAUUGAGAUAUAUGUUAGAACAAGGCCUUAUUUAUUAGAAGAGUUAGACAGAGAGCAAAAGGGGACAAAAGGCAGGACCAAGGAGCAAUUUAGCUUCUUAGACAGAGACUGAAUGGAACACAUAAGGAUUGGCUGUCCGAACAUCAGUCAGAAAUGAUCAGAAGAUCUUAGUCCUUUUUAUUUUUAUUUAUUUUUAUUUUUUUUUACGGACAACACGGUAGCAGCCGGUCUUUUGAAAAAAAAAAAAAAAAUUGGCAUGAGGCUACCGUGCACCUGACACUUUUAAAAAUAAAUUAUUUGCUGCCUUACAGCAUAGUAACAGGAGGCCUUUUCUAAAAAAAAAAUUCGCCUGCAGGCUAUAAUUUUGUACCAAGACAAUGGCAGAGUUACAUUUGGCGGAUAAAUUUUUUUUUUUUACCUAUCCUAAGAAAUUAGCCACUUCAGUGUGAUGAUGAGGAAACGUGUGUGUGAAAUAAUGUCUCUUGUUCAAUGUGGCCAUGCAACCAUUCCUUUGGUUUACAUUUGCCACUUGCAAUUUUUAUUAUAAAACAUGAAUAUUACUCUAGCUUUUGGAACCUGAAGCAAUUAUAAUAGAACGACUUUGGCCAAGAACACUGACAAUUGUAGUUGACACUCAGAAUUUUAAAAAAAAAAAACAAACAGCAUAUGAAUUUAUAAGGAAAUAGAAUAUGAUGCUUCAAGAGUUUGAUUGAGCAUUUAUUUGGUACCGUAGGCAUCCAAUGACUGAGUCGUCCAAUUGAAGAUCAAUAUGCUUGUACAGGGAAAUCCACUUGCAAAAAUUAAUGGGAAACUUUUGACCGCGGAGUCUAUUUCAUUGUCCCUUGCAUUAUUGGAAGAUACAGCAGCACAACCAUUCCUUUUUCCAUUGACCAUUUGCCACUGUGAAGUCUUGGCCUGUCGGCUUAGGAUAAGAAUCCAAGACAUCCAAUGGUUGGUUAAAAGAAAUCCAUGAAAUAUUUAUUUCUCUUGUUAUAUUAGGAAUUGGUUAGUACAAAGAUUAUUCUUAUUUGAAAAGAUAUGAAGGGGACAGUUUUAUGACUCAUUACAUAAUUGAUCAAGGACCAAUAGUGAAAAAAUAUACAAAGAAAACAAAAAAUUGCCCUUUUCAUUAAUUGAUAAUCCACAAGAAUUUAGUAGCUUAAAGUGUCUUCGGUCUGUGGUAAUAUUUGUGGUAAUAUUUGGGUAUGAAGAUCCUCUCACAGCUACAUUUUUAUCCAAGUUCUUAAGUGGUGAUCCCAAGUUGCUAAAGGUGUUGAAAUUGGAUGGAGCUGAAUUGGACAACAUCCCAAAGCAUGUCUUCAAACUAUUUCAUCUCAAGUAUCUUAAUCUCAAGGGAACUAGAGUUAAAAUUAUUCCAAAAUCUAUUGGGAAGCUUCAAAACCUUGAACUUAUAAAUCUGACAAGAACCAAUGUAACAGAGUUGCCUGUGGAAAUUCUAAAGCUAAGAAAACUCCGUUCUCUUUUGAUAGGCGGAUUGGGAGAUUAUUCAAAUGAGUAUGCAAUUUGGGGCUGUAAAUGUCCACUUGGAAUUGGAAAGCUUAUUUGCUUGGAAAAUCUGACUAAUAUAGAAGCAGAUAGUGAUAAAAUAGUAAGGGAGAUUGGAAAC